rnacentral:pre_miRNA from 1 species
AAUCUACUCCCUCUGUCCCAAAAAUUUUGUCUUAGAUUCAUCUAGAUACGGAUGUAUCAAGUAUUAGAUACAUCCGUAUCUAGACGAAUCUAAGACAAAAAUUUUGGGACGGAUGGAGUAAAAA